rnacentral:misc_RNA from 1 species
GUGUGUGUGCGCGCGCGCGCACGCGUGUAUAUAUCUUUAUAUAUCUUGAAUGAUGAAGAUGGAUUGUAGUAUUUCAUUUGUUUUUCGCUGUAAAAGAGCAUAGUCGAAUUCCUGGCUGCAUAAUGUUUUUUCUUCUUUGGAAGGAGUGAAGGGAUACUUGCAUUAGUGAUAAGUCUUCUUUCUAUAUUUUUCCCCUUUUUUGAAUGAUAAGGUUGUCAUUGCCAAAGUUUGAAGCAUGUGUUGGGCUGAUAUUGUUUUGAAGGACAGGAUGGUAAGCAUUGUGCUUCUGUUCAAACUAACAAUUUCUGGCACAAUAAUUGUCUUGUUUAUCCUAUCACUAUAAAAAGUACUUUAUUUUGUUUAGGGCUUGAAGUAGUCUGAUAUUCAAUGUAGAAUGUUAAAUAUUCUGUUCUCAGGUUCAAUGUGGCUUGGGCCGAACUGGUUAUCUUUGGGCAUAUGAAGCCUAUGGUGU